CGGAGAUCGAGCGCCCAUCGCCCCCAUAGCGGCUUGUUGCAAGGCCAGCUCAGGAGAAGCGGGUAAACUGUAAUAAAAUAAACAGGUCGGUGGCCAGCUUCACGUGAGUCGUUUGCUUUGAAGUCUAUAGUGUGCUGUUUAGGGGGUGCCUUUCCACAUUUUCAUCGGUAGACGGCAACUACCUUCUUUUAUAAACCAUGUUUAUUCACCUCAUUAAUGGUGCCUCGAGUGGAGACUACUACUUCCAAGACCAGUUCCAGAAAGAAGGAGCUCAAAGGCCAACAUUUCUUCCUAGAAGUAUUCGUCUCGUCAUGCAAUUUUGUGUACGUUGUGGAUGGUGCACACUCGUUCGGGUCGAUCGCCAUUAAGUCCUGUAAAUAAUACUAAAUCAAACAUGCAAGUUGGUUGUUUAUCAAACAAAUGGUAGACACAGACACAGUUCUGCUGCCUGCUGGACAUAAUCGUGUGAUCGGAUAUCAACGACAUCUUUGUACCCACCCAUGUUCGUAUGCGUAUAUAAGCUAUCAUCAGACGCAAGUUGUUGUCGCGCGCGGAGCUUUGCUUACCGCCCUACACAUCUACUUAAAGCCAAUCGCCGUGGCACUGAGAAACACUGUAGAACCAAAUACAAUCUUAAUUAAAAUACUGUCCAGUGACUCUUCCUGACAUAUGAUAAUUGUAGUAAGACUGUCGUAAUCCUUACUACGUGCCUAAAUAGUGCCCAAUAGUUAGUAGUCUCAUUUGCAGAUGUGUAGUGAUCAGAUCGAAAAGCUAUUUGUAACUGGUGCGGUGCCGGCUAUAGCUAACUUCAUUGCGAAUAACUUGCACAGCCUGCUUGACCUGGGUACGAUCACUGUGGUAAACCACGUUGUAAACGUAGUUGAAGGUACUAGCGAAAUCGAUAUGCUAAAGGGAUCCGUCGAAACAGGAAAGUACCAUGCCGCGACAAGGAGAAAGUUGCCCCCACAGCCAGACACGCAGAAAGUACAGACAAAAAUUUGCUCUAUAUGGAGACACAAAAAUGUGCAGAGUCGAGAUAGGAUAAACGCAUAAGAAAAACGGUCGUUUAGAAAUUUUUGGUCGAUUGCAAUUCCACUAAAAAUUACUUCUACUUCCCUAUAGAAACCUGUUAGAUUUAAAUUACAUUCAAUUUCUGUUGAUAUGUAGUUACGAUUGACGUUAGAUUAUAUGGGUGGG